rnacentral:tRNA from 1 species
GAUUAAAUGGCUGAAAAUUUAGGCGGUAAACUGUAAAUUUAUUUAUGAGGAAAUUCCUCUUUAAUCA